rnacentral:rRNA from 1 species
AUGGCAGGAUCUAGAUCAAGUGUUCAUGGAGAAAACCAUGGGGAAGAAGAUGCCUCGGUCACAUGUGUCGAGCUGCAGCGACUCGAGAACAACUUACUCCAAGCCAUGGAAAGGAUGCUUCGUGAGCAUCCUCCAGCAGGUGGUGAUAGGGUUCGACACCGAAAAUGCCCUAUUGAUCCACUUGCGAAAAUUGGCGAUGAGAAUUCCGUGCAUGCUGCUGUUGACGGUGCCUUGAGGAUGAUAACAACAGCUAUGGUGGACAUGUGGCUGCUGCUCAUGGGUGUGGUGCUGCUGCUCAUGGAGGGCAGCGAGGAGGACAACUUCGAGGGCAGGGCCAUGGUCCUCGUGGGCACUACUAUGACCCUCAUGAGCGUAUUGCUCGUGGUCAUGGAGAUGAUUUUGAUGAUUAUGAUGGUGUCCCAUACCGUCGUGUUGCUGAAGAUGGGCGUCGUGUAG